rnacentral:lncRNA from 1 species
UGAGGGACUUCAGUCACAAAAAACAUAAGGGUAGAGGAAAAAUUACUUUUCUUUCCCUAUUUUUCAGCCACAGAACAUGGUCAUGGAAACCAGAAGACCCAGAAGAUAGCACAAGGGCAAAGACAACAAUGAAUAGAGAGCCAGCAAGCCUGCCAUGAGGCUAUCUUGGCUUGGGGUAAGGUGACCCAGCUGAAGAAGCUGAGGGAUGGAGAGACAAGUGUCUGGGAAACAAUAGGACUGUUGGCCACAAGAGAACCAACGUGGGACCAAGUCAACCAUGCCCAAAAGAUGUGGGCUCUGAGAAGAAUUCAGAGGAAACUAAAAUGUCAUUAAGUAAUAAGUUUAAGUCUUGGCCCUUCAGCAGAAUGGAGCUGGUGGAGGAAAUUCCCAGGGUUUUAGGAGCCAGGAACUUUGGACAAAGACCGGUAUGUACAUGAAAUAUAUUUUAGUCAUCUGAAGACCCAAUAUUUAUU